AAAAACGACUUUCUUUGACAGUGGUUAUAAUAUGUUAUGGAGUAAAUCAGUCUCUUGUCAUUUUUCGAUUGGAGUAAUAUUUUUAGUAAAACUAAGUUAAACAUAUAUCAAUAAUGAACCUGGGACGCUUACGGUUUCACAAAGAUGUUUAUUUUUUUAUUUUAUUUUUUAUCUGAACACAACUUUUCUGCCAGCAAUUUUGCUCCAAAUUUUAAUGGUAGCAUUGCUUUCUAAAACGAAAUUUCACUAGGAAGGUACUUUAGAAAGGUAAUUUUUUGAUUUUCCUAAGUCUUCCCAGCAAAUAUGAAAAACAUAGGAAAACUGGGAAAAUCGGUACAACAUUAAACACAUUUUAUUAAAGAAAAAAUAUAAAGCCUAUUGAAUUAUUUUACCAUAAUAUAACAUUCUAUAUUGUUGACAAAGCAUCAAUAUCAACUGAACUCCACUCAGAAUCGUGUUUUCGUAAGCAAUGAUUUAUCGUUGCUUACAGAUAUAUAUUAUAUUUUCACCUACACCUGUCCUCAUUAUCUUACCUUUUUUCGAGUUGACUACAAGACGAUUGUUUUUAAUUUAUACAUUUUGCAAGCCAAUCGGCCCCGUUUUUAACUUCUAAGUGUCCUAUUCGUAUGAUUUAAAAAAUUCAUAAAUAUGGCACAAAAAUAAACUUUAUUUAUACACAGUAGCAUAAUCAGCUCAUAAACCUUCGAGAGGCUUGAGCCGCACUAUAAUGUUAAAUAAAUAUAGUGGUGCAACCAAAGGGGUUUAAAAAAAAUAAUGCAGGGGCUUAAGAUAAUCAGAGGGGCUAAGCCCCAUAGCCCCCUUAAUUAUUCCACUGUUUAUUAUAUAUAUACCUUUAUAUGAAUAUGAACUAAUAGGCUAACUAAUAUUAUCUAUAACAUCUGCUUCAUGAAUAAGAAUCGUACGCAAUACCAUAUAUAAAGUUGAACGUAAUACUGAGCAGUUUUCAAUCCAUAUUAGUGAAAAGCCUCCAAAUUAACUUAUUUAAAACCACAAGAUAAACUAGUAAAAUAAUGGAAAAUACAAGUAUGUUUGUACCUUAAUGAUUUUCAUCCACUCCGGCCAGUAAUUUCAGUUGAUUUUUUGGAAUUUUCGAAAAAACGUCGAGCCGUGUUUUCGUCAUUCAUUAUACUUAAUCCUGGCUUAACAAUAUCUAUUAAUAAGUCUAUUUCUCUUAUAAUCUAAAACGAUUAACUUUUUUUUUUUUCAAUUAUUUUAUUUUUCAACCAACAAAAUUGGGC